rnacentral:lncRNA from 1 species
AUUCUCCUUCUUUAAUUUUACAAUCACCAUGCCACCCACCACAUGUACAGCCACCAGCCAUAACCACCUUCUCCGUUCCUCUUCCUCCAUCACCAUCCCUACUCCCAACUCUUCCAUUCCGCCGAAAUCAAGAAUAGCAAAAUACUAAUUUUUUUGACAUAGGAAAGAGAGCUUGCCGGAAGUGUCUAUUAUGGUUGUUAAAGAAAGCCUAAUUGCUAAAUCUCAAAAGAGGUUGUUCAAUUUAUGAAGAAAUACAAUUACCACGCCGCAUGUGUUUGUUGAGUGUUAUGGAUCACACGAUGGGUAUUGACGCUGGUGACAUUAUUGUUGGUAGUUCCACUCUCACCCCCGUCUCCUCACAGUGAACCACUAUUUAUUUUCAUUCCUCAUCACCAUUUCAACUCCUGCCACACUCUUUAAUUUUAUUAAAAAAUUAUUUUUGUAAGAUUUUUGUGGCUCAAUUUCUAAUUGACUUAGUAGGUGUCGAUGAUGGGUGUUGCGGAAUUGACGAAGGCGGAGAUGAAAGUGGAGUUUUUAAUUGCUUCAGCCAUUUAAAUUCCUUUUAACAGUUUCAGUACGGCCACCGAAAUUUCAAGAUAAAGCUUUGUAAUUAAUUUUUUGUUCAUUUAAUCGUUAUAUUGUAAAAAUGAUUUAGGAUGGAAUAUCUUAACUUCCUUCGUCGUUUUGAUACCAUUUUUGAAAUUCCAAGAUAAGUAUUGUGGCUGAAGCAAUGGCGGUGAAAUUAAUAUUGGCGAUAAGUAGAGUAUUGUGGAGUUGAUGAAAGUAAAAGUGAAAUUGCAUUUGGUGAUGGGUAUUGUGAAGUUGAAGAUUGCAACGAUGGUGUUAGCGAGAGCUUGGAUGGUGGCGAAGAGUUGGUGGUGGUGGGUUUCAUAGUUUCGCCGGUGGUAUGGUAAAGCACCAACGCUGCUGGAUGAAAAAAGAAAAGAAAAAAUUUAAAAAUAUAUAAAAGAAUAAAAAUUAACUCGUGGAGGUGC